CUUUUCCCAAAGCUAUCGAUUUCCACCGUACUUAGAUGUCCAGUCCACCCUCCCAUGGACAGGCUGUACAGUAGGACCUCUAGUCAUCAGAUUACCAGAUGUUUUCCUCAGAGCUGAGUAGCUGCUUCCCUUCAGCCCAGCCAAAGGUGCAAGUUGGAUUCUCUGUCCCACGGAUCCCACCUCUUUCUUUUGGAAUGAAGGGAUGUAACCACCAGACAGGUUGUAUUUGGUGCUUACAAAAUUCCCUGGAGGAGAAGGAAGGUGUUGAAUUAAAGUGUUGGAGCCAUAAUUUAAAUUCUUUGCUAAUCAUUUAUAUUAGUAAAGCUAAAAGUAAACACAUCUAAUAAGUACGUUUUCACACGCUGAUAAUGAUUGCCCGUGUGGGAUUCCUUCUGCAUAUGCAAUCACCUCAAAAGACCUGCGCCGAUGAAUAAGACUGAGUGAUUGAAGUCAUUUAACUUUUCAAGUGACACCAUCAACCUGCUGCAGCAGCAGUCGCAGAUGGUUAUCAGUAUAAUUAGCCAAAGAACCUCAUUGUUCCCACCUGAAGAUGUUGUGCUUGUGCUACAAUUUACCAUCUAUUUAGCAACUGGAGGUCUUAGUUCUCAGGCUAAACUGUGGAUUUAUGCCCUCGUCUCCCGCAGAGCUUUUAGCUGCCGGGUUCUUUCACAUGUUAAGCCACUACCUGAAUACCUGAAGCCUGCUGUAUCAGAGGCCACGCUGAGGCUGGGAAAUAAAGAGGAGAAAUUCACAGUGCAUUUGUACCUUUAGAGAGAUCAAUUUUGUCCCGUAUUCUUUCCUUAACAACUGUUCUCUCUUGUGCAUUAUCCACAGAUUUAGAGGUACUCUCCUCUACAAUCACAGUCACGGCAGGAAAGUGGAGUUGAAGAGGUGUGUGAGUUCAGAAAGAAGCGAGAAGAGGGGAAAAAAACAAAUAAAGAGAAAACAUAAGAAAACAAA